UACAGAGGUCUCAAGCGUUGUUCGGAUUUAUUGGGCGUAAAGGGCGCGUAGGCGGCGGGGUAAGUCGGGUGUGAAAUCUCAGGGCUCAACCCUGAAACUGCACUUGAUACUGCUCUGCUUGAGGACUGGAGGGGAGACUGGAAUUCACGGUGUAGCAGUGAAAUGCGUAGAUAUCAGGAGGAACACCGGUGGCGAAGGCGGUGGUCUGGGCCGGCACUGACGCUGAGGAGCGAAAGCGUGGGGAGCGAACAGG
rnacentral:rRNA from 1 species